rnacentral:rRNA from 1 species
CCUACGGGUGGCAGCAGUGGGGGAUAUUGCACAAUGGGGGAAACCCUGAUGCAGCGACGCCGCGUGUGGGAAGACGGUCUUCUGGAUUGUAAACCACUGUCCCCAGGGACGAAAAUGACGGUACCUGGGGAGGAAGCUCCGGCUAACUACGUGCCAGCAGCCGCGGUAAUACGUAGGGAGCAAGCGUUGUCCGGAUUUACUGGGUGUAAAGGGAGCGUAGACGGCGCUGCAAGUCCGGAGUGAAAGCCCAUGGCUUAACCAUGGUACUGCUCUGGAAACUGUGGAGCUUGAGUGCGGGAGGGGCAGGCGGAAUUCCUAGUGUAGCGGUGAAAUGCGUAGAUAUUAGGAGGAACACCGGCGGCGAAGGCGGCCUGCUGGACCGUAACUGACGUUGAGGCUCGAAAGCGUGGGGAGCAAACAGGAUUAGAUACCCUGGUAGUC